rnacentral:lncRNA from 1 species
AUUUUAAGAGGCAUUUAGAGGGGUGGCAAUAAUGUAAGUCCAUCUAGGAAUGGGCAGGUCUUAUUGAAUUGUCGAGGCCCAUAUUGAACUUUCUUGCAUCCAACCUGAAAACCAAGACCACCAACAAAACGGCACCGUAGAAUGAAUUUCGCUCGCACAGCCUUACGCUCAAGCUUCUAGAUUCUUCUUGCCAAACGUACCUCGUGGUAUAAUCGAUUGCACAGUUCAUUAAAGCUGCUAAAAUCCGGUCAACUCGGGUCACGUACCGCGGCACCGCCCUAUCACCCGUGUUCUCUAUCUACUAUCUAGACCAAAGAAGACUUCUUUUCUUACUCCCAAAGGCAUUCCGCAUUCGUUAAGAGACCCGAGCCAAGCCUUUCUUCAAAAAUAACCCCCCUUCCCCAACCAACGACAAUAAAUAAAUAACACUCAAAUCGGCGCCGCCGUAUUUUUCCCGUCGUCUUUGCACUCUAAUUUAAUUUCAGAUUUCUGCAACUAAAGGUUCCUCUCGUGUUUUCCAUUUUUCCUGCUCUUAUCUCUCUUGAAUACUUUGUAUCUGUUUUUUUUUUUUNNNNNUUAAUUAAUUAANNNNNUGAAAAAAGGGAGAAAGGGCUCUGCUACAAUUGCGACCAGAAGUGGAGCCACUCUCAUAGAUGCCGUAGUAAGUUUCUGCUUCUUUUAGGAACAGAGGACGUUGACGAGGCGAUGGGUCCACCAAUUAAUUCUGAGAUCUCAGAUGUUGUUGAGGAAACUAUUAUAGCUGGUGAUAUCUCCAGUUUAAAUGCCUUAGCGGGCCAAAAUACUCCUCGCUCUCUACGACUCCUUGGUGAAAUUAAUCAACAGCCCGUGCAAGUACUUAUCGAUAGUGGUAGCACUCAUAAUUUUAUUAAACCCGCUGUGGCUGAAGUUUUGGGGUUAGCAGUACAAGACACUACCACAUUCCGGGUAUAUAUCGGUAAUGGUGAUUCUUUAGUUUGUCGAUAUGUUUGUUCCCAAGUCGCCUUAUCUAUGCAAGGCCAUGUUUUCUACAUCGACCUUUAUGUUCUUCCUAUUGAGGGACCGGAUAUUGUCCUCGGAAUUCAAUGGUUACAGCUGCUUGGCAAAGUCUCUCAUGACUAUGCGGCAUUGUCAAUGGAAUUUUUCUAUAAUGGCUCUCCUGUCUUCCUGCGAGGUGAUCUCUCAUUGUCUCCACGACCGAUUUCUUUUCAUCAAUUACAAGCCCUCAUGUCCCAUGAUCAAAUCCACGGCCUCUUUGAAUUUUUCCAGUUGCAUACUACUACAGACGCGCAGGAUACCCUCUCUGUUCCAACCACUGCUACUAAGUUUGACUUCCCACCCGAUUUGCCUUCCCCUGUACUUGCCCUUCUUCAUCAAUAUGAGCAAUUAUUUCACACUCCAUCUUCUCUACCUCCUCAUAGACUUAUUGACCAUCACAUUCAUCUCCUCCCAAAUACUAAACCUGUCAAUGUUCGCCCAUACCGUUAUCCUCACUUCCAAAAGGCCGAAAUGGAGAGACUAAUUACAGAAAUGAUUGAUCAAGGCAUUAUUCGCCCAAGUCAGAGCCCAUUCUCUUCACCUGUGUUGCUGGUUAAAAAGAAAGAUGGCUCCUAUCGUUUUUGUGUAGAUUACCGAGCCUUGAACGCAGUAACAAUUAAAGACAAAUUUCCGAUACCAACUAUUGAUGAGUUAUUAGACGAGCUUGGUGGUGCUUGUAUUUUCAGUAAGCUAGAUUUGCGAGCGGGGUACCAUCAAAUACGAGUAUGUGAUAGAGAUAUUUAUAAAACAGCUUUUCGGACUCAUGAUGGGCAUUUUGAGUUCCUUGUCAUGCCUUUUGGACUCUCUAAUGCCCCUUCCACCUUUCAAGCAACAAUGAAUAGGCUCUUUGCUCCUUAUCUCCGUAAGUUUGUGAUCGUUUUCUUUGACGAUAUCUUAGUGUACAGCACUUCUCUAGAAGACCAUUUUGAGCAUUUACAUAGAGUAUUUGAUUGUCUUCAUACUAAUCAUUUUUUUGUGAAGCUCUCAAAGUGUUUUUUUUGCCAAGAUAACAUUGAAUAUCUCGGCCAUAUUGUUUCCUCUUCUGGAGUUAAGGCUGAUCCUCGCAAGUUGGUGGUCAUGUCUAAUUGGCCUACGCCGUCUACGACAAAACAAUUGCGAGGAUUCUUGGGUCUCACAGGCUACUAUCGUCGCUUUAUUAAAGGAUAUGCUUCCAUUGCUGCCCCUCUCACAGAUUUAUUACGGAAGGAUGGUUUCCAUUGGUCCUCCGCAGCUGACACGGCCUUCGCUGCCUUAAAACAAGCUAUGAGUGCAGCACCAGUCCUUCGCUUGCCAGAUUUUCAAUUGGAUUUUGUUAUUGAAACGGAUGCCUCGAAUGUUGGUAUUGGAGCCGUACUGAUGCAAGCUGAUCAUCCUAUUGCUUAUUUUAGCCGAAAAUUGGGUCCUCGCAUGCUUGUCGCUUCUACUUAUAUCAAAGAACUUCAUGCCAUNNNNNUUAAUUAAUUAANNNNNUUUUUGCAAUGCUUCUGUGAUUCUUUGCUGGUGAUAAUCGUUAGAUAUUCUAGCCUCCUCAGCUUGGUGCUUUUGACUCAUUCAAUGUUUAAAUUGAGCUUUCCUUAUUUCCUACCUCAAGGUUUCUAGACUUCCCACCUAAUAGUAUUCGUCCCUGCCUUCGAGAGAUAUGAUGUCCUCUUUUAGAGACUCUAGCCCCCUUCGAGGGGGUAUCAUUGAUUCCUAUAUCAACACAGGCCCCCAGUUCAUGAUAAGAGUUUUUGAAAUUUAAAAAUCUCUUAUUAUGAACUAAGAAUUGGAGUGUUUUCAUUUGAAUCUAAAAUUCAAAAUUGAAUAUUACUCUAGGGAUACGUAUCGUUCCCAACCUUAAAUCAGGCAUCUGGGCAAAUCAGAAUGUGUUUGAAUUGCCGAUAUUAUAGAUUUGCUUGAGUUUUGGUUCCAUCCAUUACAAAUAUAUAAUUUAAACCAUUGUUUCUGAAGUACAGAACAAUUAUCAUUGCUGCAAUUUUCUUUUGAGAAAAACAAAAUAUUAUACUGUGGAGCCAAAUUUAGACUUCGAUUUGCCCAUUACUACUGGGGAGGCCUCAGAUAAUUUACAUGGAUUAUAGCAUGAUAUGCACCAGAUUCUUUAUUUGGUAAAGAGAUUAGUGCAACACAGUCAUUGUAGAUAUAUAAUAAAAAAACUUUAAUGAUAUUAGAAAAGACUUAAGAGGACUAAUGCAUUGUUUACUGCAUCGUGUAAAUCUAAAAAUAAUAUUGAUUAAAAAACAGGUGAAAACGUUUUGUACGCUUACAGCCAUCAGAAACAAUUUUUUUGUGAAAUAUUGGCUCCACCAUUUUUAAGUAAUAAAUUGUACGAUGACCACGUAAUAAAGAGUAGAAAUUAUCUAACUUUGACUUUGUAAAAUUUCGAAAAUACUAUUUUAGAGUUGGCAAAUUGCAGGCUUGGAAUAAGUUUUUUUCAAGCACACUCCUAAAAUCAUAUUAUUAUUAACAAGUCUAAAUUCUUUAAAAGUCUGUCUAAAUUGGGUUUUUCAUUAAUGUUGAAAUAAAUUUUCAACCAAAUAAAAAAAUUAAAUUAAAGAUGAUUAUUCAAUACUUAAUAAAAUAAUAGUUCAAUAUACAAAAUAUUUACAACACAACGUAAUAAAUGACAAAUACUAAUAUAAAAAAACUAAUCUAAUACUUUAUUUUUUUUAAUUUGAUUUAUCUUUUUAUUUAUAAAUUAGCCUACAUUUUUUUCUUAGGCCCUUAGUCAGACUCAAUCUAUGCAGACUUUAUAUUUUUAGUUUAUAUCCUUUAUUUUAAUACAUAGACCAGACCAGACCAGCCUAGACUAUUUUGUCAAUCAUAAUACUAUUACAUUAUAUCAUAUAAUAGUUAAAUAUCAUUAUAUUAUUGUAUCAUAUGGUAUAAUAAUCUUUUUGAACAGUAAUAAAGUCUAGAAUCCAAGAUAAGAUUAGCACUCAAUAAAGAUGAGAGAGGGGAACAUCACAAAACCAAAUAUUCUAGGUCAAAAUGGAUUACCAAAAACACAUGGAUUAGGAAAAAAAAAAAACAUAAAUGUGUACAAGUGCUAACUUUUUUAGAGUUCCUAAAAUCCCAAAUGCGACACCCAAUUAAACGAGGGAGACACACCCAAACUGCCACGAAAUCACGCAUGGCCCAUGUCUGUUUAGCCCCACAUUAAGGGACAGUGAAAGAAAUUUUUCCUCUUAUAUGGGUUCGGGUGGGGAUAUUAACAGUCCCGCACUGUAUCAACUCAUUGACAUCCUUCGUUUCAGGAGGCUCCUAAAUUCUUGUGUUUUACAUAAUAACACAAGGGAAAUGAAAAAAAAUUCUCCUAUUAUUUAAUUAAAUGAAUAAUUUUUUUUUCAUGUUUGAAAANNNNNUUAAUUAAUUAANNNNNAUAUUUCAUUUUUCAACAGGUGAUGUAAGAUAAUUUUACCUUUUUAAUUUUCCUUGGGAAUUUUAUAUCUUGUAACUUGUGAUUGGAAGAUAAAAAUGAUGUUAUAUAUUUACUAUUACUUCCAUGUCGUGGAUGUAAUGGCUAUUCCCAAAGCUCAAUUGAACCAAGAACACAAUCUUGAAGGACCCAAGAGCAGAUCCCAAACAAGAAGUGACAGAAAGCUUAACAAGAAUCAAUGAUCAAACAAUGAACAAAACAAAGAAUCAGUAAAGAAGAAAACUUAGAGCAAGAGUGUUCAAUGAUUUGAUUACAUUUGUGUUUAUUUCUGUGGAUGAUUUCAUUCCUAUUCUUGCCAUUCAUUUUUAUGAUUUUUUUUUUUUGUUUUGUGUUGACUCAACGGAACAACCAACAAGUACCCAGCCCUGCAACCGUAUUUAUUUGUCAUGAUUUGAUUAAGCAGAGCAACUAAUACUUCAAAUCUUAUCACUGUUGUAUUAGAGGCUUCACGUACUAUGAAUAAUUAGUGACGAUCUAGCCUAUAAACCAAAGUUUAACAUAUCUGCAUAUAACUGAAUGAAAAUCUUAUGUAUUAUAUUCACUCCAUCAAGUAUGAAGCAUAUAAUCAAUUGAUCUACAAGCACUAGACAUAAAAAAAUCGAAUGGUAGAAUAGAAUAUACAAGCAUCAGCAUUAGAUGACAGGAAAAGAGCUCAUUAAUAAAUUAUAUGAGUGAUAAUACUACUUGAAUCAAACUCACGUCCCCAGUUGAGAAGAGUUAAAUUAAAUAAUACUUUGGUGAUUUCAUGUGCGUAAAAUUAUAAAUUUAUAACCAGACUUUGUAAAGUUAAUGUGAAAAUGCAUCACAGUUGUACUUAUUAUCUUUUUUCUUUUUUUCUUUUCCAAUUAGUCUAAUACCAGUGGCGUGGCCUCGUGGGUCCUCAAAUUAUUCAAAUGGGCAUUUCAUCGAACAGUGGAUAUACUCGGCAUGUGCACUUGGAAGACGCGUUCAAAAGCUCUAAAUCAUGUUAAAGUCGACCAAAAAGACAAAACAUAGAAAGCCACAAUCCAACAACUAGGUAAAAAUAUUCGCUGUCACAAAUGGUUGCGUUAACGUGUAUAUUUGGGACAUCAAAUAUAAACAAAGACCAUGUGAAAAAGAAAAGCAAAAAGCUAGAAAUAAGAAAAAGGGAGCACAGUGAAAGAUCUGCAAAGAAGGUUUAGGACAACGAUUAUUAUGAAAACGGGACCAGAAGACGUAUAAGGGAUUUCGGAGAAUUUGAGAGAAGUGGGAUGAUUAAGAAAAUGCAGGAGCAGGACAUUCAUGACCUCUAUCAGUAAUUUGAUUUCGUGAAUCAUUUUCAAAAAGAAAAUAACGCACACAAUUGGAGACUAGGCGAUGAUAAUGAAAGAUCACAUAACCUACUUAAUAAUUUAUACGCAUUAAUGCGGAAUCGACAAUUCUAAAUCAUGUUAAAGUCAACCAAAAAGACAAAUCAUGGAAAGCGGCAAUUGCUAUAUUGCGUUGCGUAUAUUUUGGGAUCAUCAAAUACAAACAACCACCACGUUAAAAGAAAAGCAACAGCUGACGAGAUUGGUAAAGAUAUAUCAAAAGAAAGACUAAUAGAGCUUUCCCAGCAGCAUUAAUCAUGAUUAUUUGAUAAAAUAGAGGUAAUAAAUGAUUAUAUUUUUGGUGGAAGACAGAACAGAGUACGUUACAAGAGCUGAUUGCUUUCUUAAUUUUUUUUGUCAAUAUUUAACCAAAAAUACAAUUCAAUGAAAAAAUUGAAAAUAAAGCACCAUCAAGUCAACCUUGGUGCAGAAAAAUAUUAACAUUUAAUGAACAUAGAGGGAUGAGUUGGGCCAAGUCUUUAAAUCAGCUCUGUCGUGGNNNNNUUAAUUAAUUAANNNNNAAAUUUGCGUGGAUAGGCUAUAAGCUAGUAUACAAAUUGAUACAGUAGUCAUACCAUUGUCACAACAAGAGGUUAUUUAUAUUCAUGUAGUUCUAAGAUUUUCACUUGAAAAUGCAUAUUGACUACUGACUAAUAAUUUUCUUUAAUUGGUCAAACACAACAUAUAUCAAUUAAAAUUGGUACUGCAUUUAGUUUCUUCUGUUUCUUUUACAUGUCACUCCAGCCAAUAUUUGGUUUGCUUGUGCUGUUAGUCGUAAGCUUGUGCUGAACUUUGAUUUCUUUCUUUUAAUAGCUUGCAAUAUUUGGUUCGAUGGUCUGAAUAAGACCUGAAUAUUAAUUGAGCCUUUUGCUGUUAGUUGUACGCUUGUGCUGAACUUUGAUUUAUUAUGUAAUCAAAUAAAGUUGUUGUUGAAGCAACAGAUUUGAUGAUGAGUGUUUCAAAGUUUUCCAACUUUUGUCCUUUUUUUUUUAAGACAGCCUGAGAGAUUAAGCAUGCUAGGCCCAUUUAUUAUUGUUUUUUGACCUUUUUCUUUUUUCACAGUAUUGAUUAUCCAAUUUUAGCAAUUCUUUAGUUAGAAUUUAGUUUUAAGAAUAUUUAAUGUCUCUUACAAUUUAACGUCUCUUACAAUUUAAAUACAAUCUUUUUUCCAGCUCUGUAUACAUGGAUAUAGAGGCUGUUGUAAGAGGUGACUUGCUCACUGUUGCAUCAGUGAUACCAGAACAGUACAGCUUAAAGAAGUUGUGGGCUGAUAUCAGGGAUUUAUGUUUUGAUCAGCCUAUUAAGCAUGCUACUGAAGUCAGAUUUCAAGUUAUGUUACCUUGGGAGACGAGUUAUGCCACCUUGAAGACAGAAACUGAUUU